rnacentral:sRNA from 1 species
GUCUAGCCCAGAUGGAAAUGGCAUCCUUUUGUGCCAGUGUUUGGCAUAAAAGAUAUAAUGGACAGCUGGUGUGGGA